UUAUGUAUUAUAAUGGAGAAUGAAGAAGUUUCUUCUAGAUUUUCUUAUUUUACACUUUUGUAGUAGCAUAGUAUACACCAUAGCCAUGGAUACAUGGCAUUUUUAUACUUGUAUUUGUAUAUGUCUAUCUCGGAUGUUCUGGAACUUGACAGUAUUUCAAAGUAAUGACCCCUCCCCUCACAAACUAAUUGAACAGCUUUCUCAUGCAGCUCCCCUGUCCGUGCUUCACUCAACCACUGUCCUUUUUUCUACUCCAGGCUGAAAAGUAAUCCCAUUAUCUCUUAAAAGGUCAACCUAAAGAAGAUUUGAAGUCUGUCUGGAAACCUGAGGGUCCCACUUCUUUACGGAGGCAGGGAGCAUGGAAACCUGGAAAUCUGAAGAACAAGUUGAUGCACCUAUAUGAGUGAAACCCUGUGAUACAAUGUAACAUCCCAAAUUCCAACCAAGUGAAAGCAGCAUUCAACAGUGUGCAACCUUCUAUCUUCCGAGUUAAAUCAGGCCACAGUAGGACUUCCCCUUUUUACAAAUGUCACAGAAUGAAGCUCUAAAGAGUGAUUUCCAGCUUCCAUUCAAGUGAAAAGUUCAGCUCCCAACAGGACUAGGCAACAUCCACAAAGCAAACCAAGCAAGACCCACGGGACCAAGGCAUUAUUGGGCCUCUCAGGAUGCAGGACACCGCUCCUCCUUCCCUCCAAUCAGAGAAGCUUAAAAAGUGCAGGUUACUCCACAGACCACCAGAAGGUGGUAUGGAAAGAUGUAAGUUCCAAGAAAGAAAGGGCCAUAGUUGUCGUUUAUCACCCUCGGAUUCCCAGCACCUAGAGGGAACCUAGCACAAAGUAAGUGCUCAGGAAAUAUUUGUGGGUCUGGUUGGCAAUGGGAGGGGAGGAAGAGAGACCCAGAACAUUCUCCUGAGGCUGCUUGAGCAGAGAAAGGAUGAAGGCUUCGUGUUGCCCACAGCACUGGGGACCACAAACAGCACUGUGUGUCCGCUUGCUUUAAGGCUCGCUGCUAGGCACCAUGGGCAUCAGAGAAAUAAGAUGACUAAUGUAACCAGCUACUGCUGUUCUGUACCUCCCCGGAGCACAGCCAGCCAGGCAACCCCUUAGAGGGCAGAUACUCCCCUCACCUUCAUCCCCCCAUCUCAGAAGCCAGUUUUAGGACCAACCCACUCUAGGAGAGGCCUUGAAGUAAGACCCCAAGGCUCCCCAACAUUCUCCAGCGCCAGCAAACUGACUCUGGCUCGCAGUGAGGCAGCCAGGCCUGCCCUUGUCUGAACCUGCGUCCUUGAGACUCAGCCAAACCUCUCCGGGCUUGGCGGAGGGAUGUUGAGGUGACAUUCUUCUCCUGCCACUCAGCAUCUUUUAAACAGUCCUCCUCCACCUUGGGAGAGUACGCAUGAACUCACAGGAGACUGGGGCCAUGGGAGCUGAAAAUUCCCUUUCUCUCUCAGAGAGGAAUUCGUCGCAAGUGAAAAAACACACCUCCCAUGAAAAAUCAGAAUCUGGGAUGUCGGCAAGUUCUUUCUGGCGAAGUUCUUUUGGUUGCCAGUGGUAGAGUCCACGUCAGGCGGAGUUCGUGAACAAGGGACUUCGCUGGGAGGAUAUCGGGGUGUCUCAGGGGGCUGGGAGGACCUGGCCCCAUGCCCUGGAAGGGGUGGGAAGGAGGAUCAGUGACUGCCCAUGUCUGCCUGCUGCCAGCUGCACUAGUUUCCUCCUCCUUGGGCUCAACCCGAGUUCACAGCCUUGGGGGUGGGGGGUGGGGGGGAGGAGCAGGAGGUUGGCACAGGCCCUUUUGGCUCUGGACCACACCGCCUGUAGUGCACCGUGAAUUAAUAUUUUUAAUAAAUCCUGUAAUUAUCCUGUGAACAGAACAUUUUUGUGGCACUAUAUUUUUGUGUUAAAAGCAUUAAUUUGUUCAAUAUAAACAUUAAAUAUACACCAUCCUUUUUGUAACCUUGUUUCU